rnacentral:rRNA from 1 species
UACGGGGGGGGCAAGCGUUGUUCGGAAUUACUGGGCGUAAAGGGCUCGUAGGUGGCCAACUAAGUCAGACGUGAAAUCCCUCGGCUUAACCGGGGAACUGCGUCUGAUACUGGAUGGCUUGAAUCCGGGAGAGGGAUGCGGAAUUCCAGGUGUAGCGGUGAAAUGCGUAGAUAUCUGGAGGAACACCGGUGGCGAAGGCGACAUCCUGGACCGGUAUUGACGCUGAGUGAGCGAAAGCCAGGGGAGCAAACGGG